GAUUGAACGCUGGCGGCAGGCUUAACACAUGCAAGUCGAGCGGUAACAGGAGAAGCUUGCUUCUYGCUGACGAGCGGCGGACGGGUGAGUAAUACUUAGGAAUCUGCCCAGUAGUGGGGGAUAGCACGGGGAAACUCGUAUUAAUACCGCAUACACCCUACGGGGAAAAGGGGGCGCUUGCGCUCUCGCUAUUGGAUGAGCCUAAGUCGGAUUAGCUAGUUGGUGGGGUAAAGGCCUACCAAGGCGACGAUCUGUAGCUGGUCUGAGAGGAUGAUCAGCCACACCGGGACUGAGACACGGCCCGGACUCCUACGGGAGGCAGCAGUGGGGAAUAUUGGACAAUGGGGGCAACCCUGAUCCAGCCAUGCCGCGUGUGUGAAGAAGGCCUUUUGGUUGUAAAGCACUUUAAGCAGUGAAGAAGACUCUAUGGUUAAUACCCAUAGACGAUGACAUUAGCUGCAGAAUAAGCACCGGCUAACUCUGU
rnacentral:rRNA from 1 species